UACGAAGGGGGCUAGCGUUGUUCGGAAUUACUGGGCGUAAAGCGUGCGCAGGCGGCCAUCCAAGUCAGUGGUGAAAGCCCGGAGCUCAACUCCGGAAUUGCCAUUGAAACUGUUUGGCUCGAGUACGAGAGAGGUGAGUGGAAUUCCCAGUGUAGAGGUGAAAUUCGUAGAUAUUGGGAAGAACACCCGUGGCGAAGGCGGCUCUCUGGGACGGUACUGACGCUGAGACGCGAAAGCGUGGGGAGCGAACAGG
rnacentral:rRNA from 1 species